rnacentral:lncRNA from 7 species
AAGAACAUGGCCUUGAUUAUUGCUCUUCUGCAUUAGAAACUGUAAAAGUGCUACUUUUUUUUAAUUAUUAUUUUUAUUUUAUUUAAAAACUGUUUAGGUCUCUAUUGAACAUGACAAAAAGUACCCCAAACCAAAAGCAACGUCUCUCAUCCUCUCAGUUUUAAAAACUAACGAUAUUUUGAUGGUACCUAGUAGUGGAAAAGAUGGGUUGAAAAUUGAAUGAAUUAGCAGCAGUAUUUUAACUGCUGCAUUUUCCUCUGAAACGAGAGGAAUUAGAUUUGCCUUGUUGAUGUGUUUGUGCCUCAUGCUUCAGUAGACAGAAAAUGCUUCUUGCUGACAAGGAUCUACAGAAAUGGCAUGAUAGGGAGAAAUUCUUAACCAAUUGCAGUACAUUUUUAGAAUGGAAGUGUGAUAGGCAUAUUCUGUUUCCUGCUGCCACACCAGAGAAUGGUUCAGCUGAUGAAGAAGCAAGCAAUAGAGGAGCUGACAUUCACAGUAGUCUGUGCAGAAGAGGCAUUAAGGAGAGGCAAUCAGGAUGUUUGUUCUUCUCUCUUGAGAGCAUAAGGAUUACUACAGACAUUUCACUGGCAAUCCUCACAAACUGGGUAAGUCUUACAAAAAAAGAGUGGUGAGGCGUUGGAAUGGGCUGCCCAGGGAGGUGGUUGAGUCACUGUCUCUGGAGGUAUUAAAGAAAUUAUAAGUUGUACUAAGGGACUUGGUUUAGUGGGAGAAUAUUGGCGGUAGGUGGAUGGUUGGACUGGAUAAUCUUGGAGGUCUUUUGCAACCUUGGUGAUUCUGUGAUAAAUUCCCUUUUCUGGUUUUUGGAUUUGUUUGUUAAGAGGGACUAGUCUAAUGUAGAGAGUUGUACUUUAGAACUAGGUGAUUGUGUUUCUAAUCUGAUUGUUCACUUGCAACAAGAAAGCAAAAGCUUUACUUCUCAGAACUUUCUUUUCUUUUUUUUUUCAAUUUCCCUUCAUGGUGAAUGUCAUGUAUUUUUCCUUAAAAUACUAUGACAAAGUGGUU